rnacentral:rRNA from 1 species
AUGCAACACCCGUUCCCAUUCCGAACACGGUAGUUAAGGUUCUUACGCUGAUGGUACUGGUGAAAGCUGGGAGAGUAAGUUACUGCCGGGA